rnacentral:miRNA from 1 species
UGAAUCGUAGGUGACAGCGGUGAGUGAUGCGGUAGACAUCGCGUCAACUUAACUUUCAUU